rnacentral:rRNA from 1 species
AGAGUUUGAUCCUGGCUCAGGAUGAACGCUAGCGGCAGGCUUAACACAUGCAAGUCGAGGGGCAUCGCGGGUAGCAAUACCUGGCGGCGACCGGCAAACGGGUGCGGAACACGUACGCAAUCUGCCCUUACCCGGAGCAUAGCCCGAAGAAAUUCGGAUUAACUCUCCAUAAGAUAGUAAAAUGGCAUCAUUUAGCUAUUAAAAAUUUAUUGGGUAAGGAUGAGCGUGCGUCCCAUUAGCUAGUUGGUAGGGUAACGGCCCACCAAGGCGACGAUCGGUAGCUGGUCUGAGAGGAUGAUCAGCCACACUGGAACUGAGACACGGUCCAGACUCCUACGGGAGGCAGCAGUGGGGAAUAUUGGACAAUGGGCGCAAGCCUGAUCCAGCCAUGCCGCGUGUGUGAAGAAGGCCUUCGGGUUGUAAAGCACUUUUGUUGGGGAAGAAACAAAUGACGGUACCAUGGGAGGAAGCCCCGGCUAACUACGUGCCAGCAGCCGCGGUAA